AGAAAAGGAGCGGGGAACGGAGAGGCUGUUCCGGGAGGGUUUGUAAAGAGGCACGGGAGCGCUGGCACACAUGCCCCCUUCCCACUGGGGACACAAGCCGUCAGUGGCUUCCGCAGAAACCACCCCACAGACUUGCAGCCUUUGGGAAUUGCAAGAUGAACUGUCGCGGGGGAGGUCCCCCUUUCCAGCCUCUCUGUCACCAGAGAGCUACCCCCUCAUUGUGACAGAUGAAGAAAUUAAGACUCAGGUUUGAGUGGCUUGCUCCCAGUCACCUCAGGCCUCCACACUCCCCGUCAAUCUUUUCCUGUGUCAUCCACGUGUCCCUCCAAGUGAGGAGCACAGGGAGGGAAGAGAGUGGCAUCUUUCUGAGGUGGCUGUGGAAGCUGAGGCUCCUCUCCUAACUCCUCAGCACCAGGGCAGCCCUCCUCAGAGGUGGGAGAACUCUAUACCCUGGCAGACCUGGACAAGGGUGUGGGAGGGGAUGGUGGAAGAAGCAGGAGGCGGGGCAGAGGAAGCAGGAAAGGAACAGCUUGGGUGGCUCCCCAACCCAUUCAGCAGCUUGAGGCAGUUGGGAAGGAAUCCAGUAUCUGCGUGUGGACGAUGCCUGAGGCUCCGAGGGACACAUGGGCUCCCCUUGUCAUAUGGAGUAUGUGCAGGAGGCUGUGACCCGAGAACCCCUGAGAUGGCUUAUGAGAUGACAGGGGGCCAGGAACAGAAAAGGAACCCAAGGAAAGCAGGCUGAAGGGAGAUUUCAGUCCCGACUUCCGUCUGAAGAGCUGCCCAAUGAGAACCUACCUAGGAGGACAGGCAAGCAGGCCAGUCCGUUCUCAGGUGGCAGGCUCCCAGCCUCCUGCAAGAAUAACAGGAAGAGCUGAAGCUCACUAAUUUGGAAUUUGCAAUAAUAUUGACGCCACAACCUUGAUCCCAAUGAGUACAAGUUAAAAAUAACUUCUUUCUCUCUCUUUAGGGUCUUAUUCACAAGGGGGAGGUAUAAUAAGAAUACAUGUUACAUUUAGAUAGCACUUUAGACCUCCUCAAUUCUUUUGUGGGAAUUAACUAAUUUGAUAUUGAUACUAUCCCUGAGAGUUAGGAAGGAGAGACUGUCCUUUGGUCAUUUACUUUUUGUCUGCCAUCAAAACAAUGGAGGGGGUUCUGGUUCCUAUAGGAGAAGACAUUAUGAUUAGGCCAGUGCAAAGAAUUGUGGAUGCCUGACCCAAUAAAGGAAAUGCAGUCUGCUUGGGAGGACAUUCACUAUCUCCACCUCUCUUCCAGGGAAGGAGAAAUCACCAGCUAUCACAGUUGGAGGAAAAAAAAAAAAAACACCUUAGAAAAUAUGCCCCAAAUGGAAUACAAUUUGAGAGUCUAUAAAUAAACUCUUAUAUUUAUUCAAUUGA